rnacentral:rRNA from 1 species
GAUGAACGCUGGCGGCGUGCCUAAUACAUGCAAGUCGAGCGAACAGAUGAGGAGCUUGCUCCUCUGACGUUAGCGGCGGACGGGUGAGUAACACGUGGAUAACCUACCUAUAAGACUGGGAUAACUUCGGGAAACCGGAGCUAAUACCGGAUAAUAUAUUGAACCGCAUGGUUCAAUAGUGAAAGACGGUUUUGCUGUCACUUAUAGAUGGAUCCGCGCCGCAUUAGCUAGUUGGUAAGGUAAAGGCUUACCAAGGCAACGAUGCGUAGCCGACGUGAGAGAGUGAUCGGCCACACUGGAACUGAGCCACGGUCCAGACUCCUACGGGAGGCAGCAGUAGGGAAUCUUCCGCAAAGGGCGAAAGCCUGACGGAGCAGCGCCGCGUGAGUGAUGAAAGUCUUCGGAUCGUAAAACUCUGUUAUUAGGGAAGAACAAAUGUGUAAGUAACUAUGCACGUCUUGACGGUACCUAAUCAGAAAGCCACGGCUAACUACGUG